GCUAAAAAUCUAGCCCAUUUUAACCCAUAUGGACUCACCCACCUUAUUUAACAAACUAAAACAUUCUAACAUUUUAGUAAAGGAGAUUGAAAAACUAAUUUGGAGCAAUAAAAAUAGUACCGCAAGGGAAAGAUGAAAUAAAAAUGAAAUAAACCUCAAGCACAUAAGAGUAGAGAUUACCCCUCGUACCUUUUGCAUCAUGGUCUAACUAGUCUAAUCAAGCAUAAAGCAUUAUAGUUUGACCCCCCGAAACUAAGCGAGCUACUUCAAGGCAGCUUUAAGAGCGAACCCGUCUCUGUUGCAAAAGAGUGGGAUGACCUUCAAGUAGAGGUGACAGACCUAACGAGCUUAGUGAUAGCUGGUUACUCAAGAAAAGGAUUUUAGUCCAACCUAAAGUUUGUAUUUAUUAAUAAAAAUUUACCUUAAACUUUAGAGCAAUUCAAAUAAGGUACAGCCUAUUUGAAACAGGAUACAACCUCGAAUGACGGGUAAUAAAUUUUAACAUUCAACCAAGUAGGCUUAAAAGCAGCCACCUUUAAAAAAGCGUCAAAACUUAAUUGAAAACUUAAACUAAUCCCUUUAGCCACUUCUAACCCUCUACCGUUAUUGAGUAACUCUAUAUAUUUAUAGAGCCUAUUAUGUUAAAACUAGUAACAAGAAGCCAAACCUUCUCUUAGAUGUACAUGUUAAUCAGCGAGGAUAAACCACUGAUAAUUAACGCCUAUGAACCCGCAUUAGCAACUCUUACAAGAAAAACCUAAUAUUCACCACGUUAACCUAACACAAGAACAUCUCAAGAAAGAUUAAAAGAAAAAGAAGGAACUCGGCAAAUUUUAACCCCGCCUGUUUACCAAAAACAUCGCCUCUUGUAAUAAAAAUAAGAGGUCCAGCCUGCCCAGUGACCACAGUUCAACGGCCGCGGUAUCCUAACCGUGCGAAGGUAGCGUAAUCACUUGUUCUUUAAAUGAGGACUAGUAUGAAUGGCACCACGAGGGUUACACUGUCUCCUUUUUCUAAUCAGUGAAACUAUUCUCCCCGUGAAGAAACGGGGAUUUAUCUAUAAGACGAGAAGACCCUAUGGAGCUUUAAAUUUUAUUUCAAUUGCUUUAUCUUGUACUCCGUUCCGACCCCUAAGACUAAGCCAAGCAUAAUGAUAAUAGAUUUUAGGUUGGGGUGACCGCGGAGCAUAAAAAAACCUCCGCAUUGGAUUAGGCCUUAAGCCUUGAGCAAAGAGCUACAACUCCAAGCACUAACAUAUUAAUAUCCAUUGACCCAAUAUUUUUGAUCAACGAACCAAGUUACCCUAGGGAUAACAGCGCAAUCCACUUCGAGAGCUCCUAUCGACAAGUGGGUUUACGACCUCGAUGUUGGAUCAGGGUAUCCCAGUGGUGCAGCCGCUACUAAAGGUUCGUUUGUUCAACGAUUAAAACCCU
rnacentral:rRNA from 1 species